AAAAUUUUUGGAAUUUGUAUUAAUAACUUAACACUAUACAUCAAUCAUUUGUAAAUUUGUAAAAUUGAACUUAAUUCGUAUCUAAAUUUAAACUACAUUACAAAGCCCAUAUGUCUGUGCCCUGACAAGUUGUGCCGUAACAAAUUGCUUGAUCAACUGCUUUAUAACACUUGUUUUGCUUAUAAACAGUAAAAAUUGAAAAAUCAAGAUUGUUUAAUCCAAUCGAUUACACAUAGAACAAUGAAAGCAACCUGAAACAAUAAUAAACUAUCAGUUUUCAUGUUAUAUUUCAUAAGAUAAAAUAAAAAUAAAAUAAAGUUUUCAUACUGCAAAUACUACAAAUCAUUUGACAAAACAAAUAUACCACAAAUCAUUUUACCAAUAAAAGAAAAUCACAAAUCAAUGAAUCACCGCAUAACUAAAUUUUUUUUUUUAUAAUACAUAGAAACAGUGAUAGGGUUUUAAAAUCAGUGAAAAAAUAACCAAUUAAAGAAAGACAUGGAACAUUCUUUUAGUAAAUUCUACAGUUUUGUUUUACUAAAUAAAUUAUAUGACAAUAUUACGAGGAAAAAAAUCAAAAUGUUAAUUAAUAAUUGAAUUAAUUUUUCAUUAACUAAUUAUGUCAACAUUCAUAUAUUGCAUAGUAAAUAUCGACUAAAUCAAUAGUAGAGAUAUAUCUAUUUUAGAAUUAUUUUUAGUAUAUCUAUUCUUUUAAUAGAGGUAAAUCAAGAUCAUUUAUAUAAAUUAUUUUUAGAAUUAAAAAUGUAAUUGAAAAUCAUAAAAAAUCAAAAUAGAUUUAAAUUGCAAAAUUUAAAAUUUGUGUUAGUGUUAACUUUAUAAUUUAAUCACAUUGAUUCAUUAAAAUUAGGUCAUUCAACUAUUAAUCAAUUAGUUUGAUAUUACCAAAAUAUAGUAAUCAUUUAAAUAAAUCUUAUUAAAUUAGUUCUAACCAACCUAACAAAUACCUCUAAAAUUGAUAGUUCUAACACUCAUUUAAAAAAUAACAUUUUUUUUUUUAUUUAUAUUUUCACAUAUUAAUCUUAAUUUUAUAAAAGACCAUGAUUAUCGGGACAACAUGUUAUCUAAAAGAACAUUAUUUCGAAACCUUACAUUAUUUAUGUAACACCCCAAAUCACUGUAUAUGCUAAAUUAUUAUUAUUACUAUUAUUAUGAAACAAAGUGUCUCAUGCAACAAAAGAUCUCAUCCGUUCUCUUCUUUAAUUUCAGAUAAUAAUUUAAAAUUUUAUCCUUUUGUUUUUUCAUAAUAAUGAUUCAAGCAUUUAUGUUUUAAAAUAUAACAGUAUUAUCAUUUUCUAUACACUCAAAAAAAUUUAUUAUCAUUUUGAAAAAAAAAAUAAAAAAUUUCAUUAUCAAUUCUAAGAAAAAUAAUAUCAAAUAAAUUUAUAUGUUCAUCUCUAAAAAUAAUAUUAAAUCGAUAGCUUAAUUUUUCAAUAAACUCAUAUUUUUAUCUUUAACAACAAUAACAAUAUUAAAUUAAUCGAAUAAAUAGUUUAAAUAUAACCAUAUAAAACGUGUAUCAUUAAUACAAUAAGAAUGAAGAAAAAAAAUGAUCAAGAAAACGGUACCGAUCCACCAAGAAAAACAAAAACAACAAAGAUCGCAAUAUUCCGUAAAAUGAUGGGGAUAAGCUCUUUAAAUUCUUCUCCCAUAUUUUGUCUUGUUUCAA
rnacentral:lncRNA from 1 species